rnacentral:rRNA from 1 species
UGGAUCCAGCUUUGAUCAUGGCUCAGGACGAACGCUGGCGGCGUGCCUAAUACAUGCAAGUCGAGCGAGCUUGCCUAGAUGAUUUUAGUGCUUGCACUAAAUGAAACUAGAUACAAGCGAGCGGCGGACGGGUGAGUAACACGUGGGUAACCUGCCCAAGAGACUGGGAUAACACCUGGAAACAGAUGCUAAUACCGGAUAACAACACUAGACGCAUGUCUAGAGUUUGAAAGAUGGUUCUGCUAUCACUCUUGGAUGGACCUGCGGUGCAUUAGCUAGUUGGUAAGGUAACGGCUUACCAAGGCAAUGAUGCAUAGCCGAGUUGAGAGACUGAUCGGCCACAUUGGGACUGAGACACGGCCCAAACUCCUACGGGAGGCAGCAGUAGGGAAUCUUCCACAAUGGACGAAAGUCUGAUGGAGCAACGCCGCGUGAGUGAAGAAGGGUUUCGGCUCGUAAAGCUCUGUUGGUAGUGAAGAAAGAUAGAGGUAGUAACUGGCCUUUAUUUGACGGUAAUUACUUAGAAAGUCACGGCUAACUACGUGCCAGCAGCCGCGGUAAUACGUAGGUGGCAAGCGUUGUCCGGAUUUAUUGGGCGUAAAGCGAGUGCAGGCGGUUCAAUAAGUCUGAUGUGAAAGCCUUCGGCUCAACCGGAGAAUUGCAUCAGAAACUGUUGGACUUGAGUGCAGAAGAGGAGAGUGGAACUCCAUGUGUAGCGGUGGAAUGCGUAGAUAUAUGGAAGAACACCAGUGGCGAAGGCGGCUCUCUGGUCUGCAACUGACGCUGAGGCUCGAAAGCAUGGGUAGCGAGCAGGAUUAGAUACCCUGGUAGUCCAUGCCGUAAACGAUGAGUGCUAAGUGUUGGGAGGUUUCCGCCUCUCAGUGCUGCAGCUAACGCAUUAAGCACUCCGCCUGGGGAGUACGACCGCAGGGUUGCAAC